UCCAAGUUCCUCUAACUCUAAUAUGUGUCUCUAGUCCGUCUACAAUCCUCCCAAUGAUGAGAAAAGUCCAUCCUCUCUGUCUUUCGCGUGCUCCACUUUUCAGAAAAAUGUGUGCUCAAACAGGCCGUUUGGAGAUUUUCCCUUCAUGACAUCACAAAGGGCAGUAACCCCUCCCCCAGGUGGGUGACACUCCCACAGCUAGGUGUUUGUUCUGCCCUCUGAGUCUGCCUUCUCACCGUAAACAAUAGGACAUGGAGAGAGAAAGCCCGACCCUUCCAGAGAGGGGGCGUGGUCAAACACAGCUCAUUUACAUAUUUAAAGGUACAGACACAGAAACAGCCUGUUCUGAGCAGGGCUGAAAUAGAGGGCUUUAUAGGCAUGAUCAAAUACAGGAUCAGAGUGGAUUUAGAACAAGAAACCUCACACACAUGUUUUGAGGAGCUCUGAGACUUAUUUACACUUU